CAGCUUGCCAGUUACAGCAUCAGCGAGAGCUCUGGAAAGGCAGCUUGCCAGUUACAGCAUCAGCGAGAGCUCUGGAAAGGCAGCUUGCCAGUUACAGCAUCAGCGAGAGCUUUGGAAAGGCAGCUUGCCAGCUACAGCAUCAGCGAGAGCUCUGGAAAGGCAGCUUGCCAGUUACAGCAUCAGCGAGAGCUCUGGAAAGGCAGCUUGCCAGUUACAGCAGCACGUCCCCCUGAAUGAUAACGAAGAGGUAACGUUAGGUGAGAAGCCUGACCAGGGAAGCGUACUUCAUGAGCUGUAACCGAAAAACAACUGGCAUUUGGAAAGUUUUAGGUGAGGGAGAAAGUGGUGGAACAAGUAUUAGCAUUGUGCAACAACAAAAAAAGUGUCACCUUUUUGGGCCCUCAGCAGUUUGCAUCCCUGACUGCUUCUUGACACAGUGCCAGCUUGACUCAGAAGCCAGCCGGAGGAAACACCUGGCGACCAUGUCAGCGUGCAUUGCGCCCAGCCCGCCACAGGAGUCGCUAGUGCACGAUGCGACAGUAACAUCCCGGCCGGCCAAACCCUCCCCUAACCCGGACAACACUGGGCCAAUUGUGCGCCGCCCUACGGGUCUCCCGGUCGCGGGCGGCUGCGACAGAGCCUGGACUCAAACCAGGUUCUCUAGUGGCACACCUAGCACUACGAUGCAGUGCCUUAGACCACUGCGCCACUCGGGAAGCCCUGAAAGAAAAAAAAAAAAAACAUUACUCAAUUUUAGAAUAAGGCUGUAACGUAACAAAAUGUGGAAAAAGUCAAGGGGUCUGAAUACUUUUCAAAGACACUGUAAGCUGCUGUAUAUACAGGGUCACUCAACCGUGUGGGAGUCAAAACCAUCAGUUUAGAAUUUCCUGUCAUGUACUGAGGAAAUGUA
rnacentral:lncRNA from 1 species